UACGGAGGGUGCAAGCGUUAAUCGGAAUUACUGGGCGUAAAGCGUGCGCAGGCGGUUUGUUAAGUCCGUUGUGAAAGCUCCGAGCUCAACUUGGGAAUUGCAGUGGAUACUGGCAGGCUGGAGUACGGUAGAGGAAGGUGGAAUUCCCAGUGUAGAGGUGAAAUUCGUAGAUAUUGGGAAGAACACCGGUGGCGAAGGCGGCGACCUGGUCCUUUUACUGACGCUGAGGCGCGAAAGCGUGGGGAGCAAACAGG
rnacentral:rRNA from 1 species